UGCACUUAAUUUAAGUAUAUGAAUCAGCAGCAUAAACUAACCAGGAUUCCAAUGUCGAAUCCUCGCCAUGCAGUUGGUCGGGGGGGGGGGGGCGGGAGGCUCCUUCUGACCAAGUCAAGCCGGCCCAUGUACAGUGUGAGUGUGAUAGCAGCCCCCUUCCCAGCCCACCCCCACUCUCCCAACUUGUGUCUUCUCAAAGUUGGGUUGCUUGACAAUGCAGGCCAAAGUGGGUCUUAAACUGCAUCUAAGGCUAAGUACCAUUACUAAACCAAUAGUCAACAAGUACCAUAGGAGAAAGUUGGAAAGAACUUUGAAGAUAGAGUUCAAGAGGGCAUUAAAACAAUGAGAGGUAAAUGGGUGGGGUCUGAGCAGUCCACACUGGCAGCACAAAUCUGGACUUGCUGGUGGUCUCAGUGAAUCCUUCCCACUCCUGGCCUCUCCACCUGUGUGUUUUCCUCCUCCCCACAUCCAGACCUCAUCAUCCCCACCCCCUCCAGGG
rfam:Rattus norvegicus chromosome 2, whole genome shotgun sequence.